CCACCAGGGGGAAAAAUGAGGUGGGUCUGGGAGUGGAGAGUUUGUCCUUGAGUGGAGAACAUGAUCCAGGGAUUCCCAAGCUACUUGCUGAAGGAGGUCUGAAUCAUCGAAGGAGGCUUGGAACCAGAAGGAGAACUGGAGUGGAAUCCAGUGAACUAUGUAACCUGGGGAGGAGCACAAUCAAGGAUGAUGAGGCUUGAUGAAGAACACCUGUCUCACCCUCAGAGACCCUGCUCUGGCACCACCUAGAGGAAACCAAAGGAAGUGCAAGCAGCAAAGGAAACAG